GGGUGGGGGGAAGGGGGAGGCAUAGCAUUAGGAGAUAUACCCAAUGUAAAUGACGACUUGAUGAGUGCAGCAAUCCAGCAGGGCACAUGUACACCUGUGUAACAAACCUGCACAUUCUGCAUGUGUACCCUAGAACUUACAGUAU